GAUAACCCCCGGAAACUGGGUAUAAUACCCGAUAGGUCUCGAUUGCUGGAAUGCAUCGAGAUUUAAAGCUCCGGCGCCUAAGGAUGGGUCUGCGGCCUAUCAGGUAGUAGUGGGUGUAGCGUACCUACUAGCCUACGACGGGUACGGGUUGUGAGAGCAAGAGCCCGGAGAUGGAUUCUGAGACACGAAUCCAGGCCCUACGGGGUGCAGCAGGCGCGAAAACUUUACAAUGCUGGCAACAGCGAUAAGGGAACCUCGAGUGCCAGGUUACAAAUCUGGCUGUCGAGAUGCCUAAAAAGCAUUUCAUAGCAAGGGCCGGGCAAGACCGGUGCCAGCCGCCGCGGUAACACCGGCGGCUCGAGUGGUAACCGUUAUUAUUGGGUCUAAAGGGUCUGUAGCCGGCCGGAUAAGUCUCUUGAGAAAUCUGGCAGCUUAACUGUCAGGCUUUCAGGAGAUACUGUCUGGCUCGAGGCCGGGAGAGGUGAGAGGUACUUCAGGGGUAGGGGUGAAAUCUUGUAAUCCUUGAAGGACCACCAGUGGCGAAGGCGUCUCACCAGAACGGACCUGACGGCAAGGGACGAAAGCUAGGGGCACGAACCGGAUUAGAUACCCGGGUAGUCCUAGCCGUAAACGAUACUCGCUAGGUGUCGGCCACGGUGCGACCGUUGUCGGUGCCGUAGGGAAGCCGUGAAGCGAGCCACCUGGGAAGUACGGCCGCAAGGCUGAAACUUAAAGGAAUUGGCGGGGGAGCACCACAACGGGUGGAGCUUGCGGUUUAAUUGGAUUCAACGCCCGGAAAUCUUACCGGGACCGACAGCAAUAUGAACGCCAUGCUGAAGACUUUGCCGGAUUAGCUGAGAGUGAUGCAUCU
rnacentral:rRNA from 1 species